CAUGCAAGUCGAGCGGCGUAGCAAUACGGCAGCGGCAGACGGGAGAGUAACACGUGGGAACGCGCCCUUCGGUUCGGAAUAACUCAGGGAAACUUGUGCUAAUACCGGAUAAGCCCUUACGGGGAAAGAUUUAUCGCCGAAAGAUCGGCCCGCGUCUGAUUAGCUAGUUGGUGAGGUAAUGGCUCACCAAGGCGACGAUCAGUAGCUGGUCUGAGAGGAUGAUCAGCCACACUGGGACUGAGACACGGCCCAGACUCCUACGGGAGGCAGCAGUGGGGAAUAUUGGACAAUGGGGGCAACCCUGAUCCAGCCAUGCCGCGUGAGUGAUGAAGGCCUUCGGGUUGUAAAGCUCUUUUGGCGGGGACGAUUAUGACGGUACCGGAAGAAGAAGCCCCGGCUAACUUCGUGCCAGCAGCCGCGGUAAUACGAGGGGGGCAAGCGUUGUUCGGAAUUAUUGGGCGUAAAGGGCGCGUAGGCGGUUUGACAAGUCUGAUGUGAAAUCUCUGGGCUCAACCCAGAGUCUGCAUUAGAAACUGUCGGGCUUGAGUAUGGGAGAGGUGAGUGGAAUUUCCGGUGUAGCAGUGAAAUGCGUAGAUAUCGGAAGGAACACCUGUUGCGAAAGCGGCUCACUGGACCAUAACUGACGCUGAGGCGCGAAAGCUAGGGGAGCAAACAGGAUUAGAUACCCUGGUAGUCCUAGCCCUAAACGAUGAUUGC
rnacentral:rRNA from 1 species